UGUAUGAUAAAAACUUCAAGUCCCUGAAGAA
rnacentral:piRNA from 1 species